GUACGAUCACUGAAAUUAAGCAACGUUGAGCCUGGGCAGUACCUAGGUGGGUGACCGUUUGGGAAUACCAGGUGCUGUAA